GGGUUGUGAGGUUAAGCGACUAAGCGUACACGGUGGAUGCCCUGGCAGUCAGAGGCGAUGAAGGACGUGCUAAUCUGCGAAAAGCGUCGGUAAGGUGAUAUGAACCGUUAUAACCGGCGAUGUCCGAAUGGGGAAACCCAGUGUGAUUCGUCACACUAUCGUUAACUGAAUACAUAGGUUAACGAGGCGAACCGGGGGAACUGAAACAUCUAAGUACCCCGAGGAAAAGAAAUCAACCGAGAUUCCCCCAGUAGCGGCGAGCGAACGGGGAGCAGCCCAGAGUCUGAAUCAGCUUGUGUGUUAGUGGAACGGUCUGGAAAGUCCGACGGUACAGGGUGAUAGUCCCGUACACCAAAAUGCACAGGUUGUGAACUCGAAGAGUAGGGCGGGACACGUGGUAUCCUGUCUGAAUAUGGGGGGACCAUCCUCCAAGGCUAAAUACUCCUGACUGACCGAUAGUGAACCAGUACCGUGAGGGAAAGGCGAAAAGAACCCCGGCGAGGGGAGUGAAAAAGAACCUGAAACCGUGUACGUACAAGCAGUGGGAGCACCUUCGGGUGUGACUGCGUACCUUUUGUAUAAUGGGUCAGCGACUUAUAUUCUGUAGCAAGGUUAACCGUAUAGGGGAGCCGCAGGGAAACCGAGUCUUAACUGGGCGUUAAGUUGCAGGGUAUAGACCCGAAACCCGGUGAUCUAGCCAUGGGCAGGUUGAAGGUUGGGUAACACUAACUGGAGGACCGAACCGACUAAUGUUGAAAAAUUAGCGGAUGACUUGUGGCUGGGGGUGAAAGGCCAAUCAAACCGGGAGAUAGCUGGUUCUCCCCGAAAGCUAUUUAGGUAGCGCCUCGUGAAUUCAUCUUCGGGGGUAGAGCACUGUUUCGGCUAGGGGGUCAUCCCGACUUACCAACCCGAUGCAAACUACGAAUACCGAAGAAUGUUAUCACGGGAGACACACGGCGGGUGCUAACGUCCGUCGUGAAGAGGGAAACAACCCAGACCGCCAGCUAAGGUCCCAAAGUCAUGGUUAAGUGGGAAACGAUGUGGGAAGGCACAGACAGCCAGGAUGUUGGCUUAGAAGCAGCCAUCAUUUAAAGAAAGCGUAAUAGCUCACUGGUCGAGUCGGCCUGCGCGGAAGAUGUAACGGGGCUAAACCAUGCACCGAAGCUGCGGCAGCGACACUAUGUGUUGUUGGGUAGGGGAGCGUUCUGUAAGCCUGCGAAGGUGACCUGUGAGGGUUGCUGGAGGUAUCAGAAGUGCGAAUGCUGACAUAAGUAACGAUAAAGCGGGUGAAAAGCCCGCUCGCCGGAAGACCAAGGGUUCCUGUCCAACGUUAAUCGGGGCAGGGUGAGUCGACCCCUAAGGCGAGGCCGAAAGGCGUAGUCGAUGGGAAACAGGUUAAUAUUCCUGUACUUGGUGUUACUGCGAAGGGGGGACGGAGAAGGCUAUGUUAGCCGGGCGACGGUUGUCCCGGUUUAAGCAUGUAGGCUGAUUGUCCAGGCAAAUCCGGAUAAUCAAGGCUGAGGUGUGAUGACGAGGCACUACGGUGCUGAAGUAACAAAUGCCCUGCUUCCAGGAAAAGCCUCUAAGCAUCAGGUAACAUCAAAUCGUACCCCAAACCGACACAGGUGGUCAGGUAGAGAAUACCAAGGCGCUUGAGAGAACUCGGGUGAAGGAACUAGGCAAAAUGGUGCCGUAACUUCGGGAGAAGGCACGCUGGUGUGUAGGUGAAGUCCCUGCGGAUGGAGCUGAGACCAGUCGAAGAUACCAGCUGGCUGCAACUGUUUAUUAAAAACACAGCACUGUGCAAACACGAAAGUGGACGUAUACGGUGUGACGCCUGCCCGGUGCCGGAAGGUUAAUUGAUGGGGUUAUCCGUAAGGAGAAGCUCUUGAUCGAAGCCCCGGUAAACGGCGGCCGUAACUAUAACGGUCCUAAGGUAGCGAAAUUCCUUGUCGGGUAAGUUCCGACCUGCACGAAUGGCGUAAUGAUGGCCAGGCUGUCUCCACCCGAGACUCAGUGAAAUUGAACUCGCUGUGAAGAUGCAGUGUACCCGCGGCAAGACGGAAAGACCCCGUGAACCUUUACUAUAGCUUGACACUGAACAUUGAGCCUUGAUGUGUAGGAUAGGUGGGAGGCUUUGAAGCGUGGACGCCAGUCUGCGUGGAGCCAACCUUGAAAUACCACCCUUUAAUGUUUGAUGUUCUAACGUUGGCCCCUUACCGGGGUUGCGGACAGUGUCUGGUGGGUAGUUUGACUGGGGCGGUCUCCUCCCAAAGCGUAACGGAGGAGCACGAAGGUUAGCUAAUCCUGGUCGGACAUCAGGAGGUUAGUGCAAUGGCAUAAGCUAGCUUGACUGCGAGCGUGACGGCGCGAGCAGGUGCGAAAGCAGGUCAUAGUGAUCCGGUGGUUCUGAAUGGAAGGGCCAUCGCUCAACGGAUAAAAGGUACUCCGGGGAUAACAGGCUGAUACCGCCCAAGAGUUCAUAUCGACGGCGGUGUUUGGCACCUCGAUGUCGGCUCAUCACAUCCUGGGGCUGAAGUAGGUCCCAAGGGUAUGGCUGUUCGCCAUUUAAAGUGGUACGCGAGCUGGGUUUAGAACGUCGUGAGACAGUUCGGUCCCUAUCUGCCGUGGGCGCUGGAGAAUUGAGGGGGGCUGCUCCUAGUACGAGAGGACCGGAGUGGACGCAUCACUGGUGUUCGGGUUGUCAUGCCAAUGGCACUGCCCGGUAGCUAAAUGCGGAAGAGAUAAGUGCUGAAAGCAUCUAAGCACGAAACUUGCCCCGAGAUGAGUUCUCCCUGAGACUUUAAGUCUCCUGAAGGAACGUUAAAGACGAUGACGUUGAUAGGCCGGGUGUGUAAGCGCAGCGAUGCGUUGAGCUAACCGGUACUAAUGAACCGUGAGGCUUAACCUUACAACGCCGAAG
rnacentral:rRNA from 1 species